rnacentral:tRNA from 1 species
AUUACUUUGGCAGAAUAGUGUAUUAAGUUUAGAACUUAAAUAUGUAAUUAUAUUACAAGUAAUA